AGCAAUAUUAACAAAUCAUUCAUUUAAUGCAAGAUGCCUAACAUGUCGAAAACAAAUAAGAGCAUAAGACCAAAUGUAUGAUGUAGCAACCACUAACCUUAGUGAAUCUCCAAAGCAAAUCCGAACUAAUGAGAAGCUAAAUCAGAAUCAAAUCUAAGAACUACCUAAAAUUCACAAUCACCUGAGACUACAACAAAGGUGGUUUGUUUUG
rnacentral:misc_RNA from 1 species